rnacentral:rRNA from 1 species
GACGAACGCUGGCGGCGUGCUUAACACAUGCAAGUCGAACGGAAAGGCCCCUUUGGGGGUCCUCGAGUGGCGAACGGGUGAGUAACACGUGAGUAACCUGCCCUUGACUUCGGGAUAACUUCAGGAAACUGGGGCUAAUACCGGAUAGGAAUCCUUGCUGCAUGGUGGGGGUUGGAAAGCUUCGGCGGUUUUGGAUGGACUCGCGGCUUAUCAGCUUGUUGGUGGGGUAGUGGCUUACCAAGGCUUUGACGGGUAGCCGGCCUGAGAGGGCGACCGGCCACAUUGGGACUGAGAUACGGCCCAGACUCCUACGGGAGGCAGCAGUGGGGAAUAUUGCACAAUGGGCGGAAGCCUGAUGCAGCAACGCCGCGUGCGGGAUGACGGCCUUCGGGUUGUAAACCGCGUUCAGCAGGGGCGAAGCUUGUGGUGACGGUACCUGCAGAAGAAGCACCGGCUAACUACGUG